GGGAGAGGAUAGGAUGUGUUGGAAAAGUUAUUUCAUAAAUUCUCUCCUUCACCAUCAUAGUACCCCUCUCCCAUCCCACCAGUCCAGGCCUCUGACUUUGGAUUCUCUUUAUUCCAGAGGGAUCCCUCAACUGAGGCCUGGGAUUAAGCCUAACACCCUUUGCCUAGACCUAGUCCUAGUCUAAGGAGAAGCUAAGAGAAGAUUAUCAGGGCGUCCAUUCUCAACAAAUCUGUGUUCAGGAAAAUGGCUCAGUGCAAGAAAGGCUGGCUAUGGUGCCACCCUGGAACCGAGCUCAGGCCCCUGAACAGUGAGAGGUCCACCUGCUUCUGGAUUCCAGGCUUUUGGUUGGAGGUAGAGUCUGAAGAUUCUCUUAACACAGCUCCAUCAAAGCUAAAGGAGCUUCUUUCCUAGCAUUCAAAGCUCCUACCCUUAGCCUGCUUACUGGGAAGCUUCUAGGAAUGAAAUGACACAUGACCCUAGGGCAGGAUCACUCCCAAAUUCUGAUUGUUGUCAUUUGCCUAGGAAUCUCUGCUAGGGAAAAAACUCUUGUCUAUGCUAUAAAACCAUAAAUAGGCAUAAAUGAUGUCAUUUUGGGGGAGGGAAAUGGUUUUUCUCUUCCCUGCCUCUGAAGCCCUGAAAAAUAGCAUGUUAUCAAUGGAAAGAGCAGCAGGCAGGGAUCAGGAGACCUGGGUUCUAGAACUGCAUCUAAUUUAUUGUGAUCUUUGAAAAGUUGCUUCUUUAAAAAAAUAAAAGGAAAUGUAUUUC